rnacentral:rRNA from 1 species
UACGGGGGGGGCAAGCGUUGUUCGGAAUUACUGGGCGUAAAGGGCGCGUAGGCGGCCUGCUAAGUCGGAUGUGAAAUCCCUCGGCUUAACCGGGGAACUGCGUCUGAUACUGGAUGGCUUGAGUUUGGGAGAGGGACGCGGAAUUCCAGGUGUAGCGGUGAAAUGCGUAGAUAUCUGGAGGAACACCGGUGGCGAAGGCGGCGUCCUGGACCAACACUGACACUGAUGAGCGAAAGCCAGGGGAGCAAACGGG